UUAUUAUCUUCGCUACCGGCGACAUAUGAGUAUCUGGUGACCACGUUGCUUUAUGGCAAAGGGACCAUAAACGUGGAGGCGGUCACAGCGGCGCUUCUCUCGAACGAGAUGCGGAAGAUGACUCAGGAGUCCGACACGCAAAGUCAGGAUGUAGGACUGGUGGUGACUGCGAAGAAGGAGGCGAGAAUAUCGGCGACCGGAUAUCGACAGAAGAAACCGCUAUCUGAGGUAGAAUGCUUUUACUGUCACAGGAAGGGGCAUAUCAAGCGCAAUUGUCGAAAAUUUCAGAAUGAUCUGAAGGAGUUAAAGCGACAGAAGGAGCAAACUGUUGUGAACCAGGACGAGACGGUAUCAGCGACGGCGCAGACAGCAGAGUCGGAGAUGAUCGAUUCUGAUGUGUUGUAUGCGGCGACCGGAGGUGCGAAAAUUUCGGACGAUGCGUGGGUGCUCGAUUCGGCGUGUUCUUUUCACGUAUGCCCGGAAAAUGAGUCUUUUGCCACCUAUAAGGCGAUCAAAAGUGGAAAGGCUCUCAUGGGGAACGGGACGGCGUGCAAAGUUUUGGGAGUCGGCAUGGUGAAGAUCCGAAUGCACGAUGGGGUCGUGAGGACGCUGACAGGUGUUCGGCACGUUCCUGGAUUGAAGCGGAAUUUGAUCUCGUUAGGCGCAUUGGACUCGAAGGGUUGCGAUAUUUCAGCUUCAGGUGGAGCUAUGAGGGUCCGAAAACGAGAUCGGGUCGUAUGCGAGGCGAACAAGCGUGGGAACUUAUACGUUCUGAACGGGAGCACAGCCAGAACGGGAGCGAAGACGGUUUGGGUUCCAAAAGUUCGCGGAUGUGCAGUUGCUCGAGACGAAGCGACGGAUGCGGCGACAUCGAGCCGAGGAGACAAGCUCAAGGUGGAGCUUGCAUGGUGAGCUCGACGUAGCGGUUGAAAAUUACAAAUCAAACCAAGGUGGAGAAUGUUAGGAUUUGGUUAGAUUUGUAGUUAAAUCCUAUUUGGAUAAGAAUUAAUAUUUAAAUCUGUUUGAGAUAAAUUAAGAUUUAAAUAUUAAUUAGAGGAUAAACCUAACUAGAUUAGGAUUAAUAUUUAAAUCUAUUAGAGAUUGAUUAAGAUAGAUUUAGAUAUUAAUUAAAGUAUGAAUCCUAAAUAUAUUAGGAUUGGGGUACGUUUUAAGUUGAGCAUUAUAAAUAGGCAUUGUGGCUCUCUUUUUUGAGAGGAGUACGGCUGGAACCAUUAGGGUGUCGUACCAGAGAGAGAAAAAAGAGAGAGAGAGAGUUAUUUUAGUGCACCUCGUGCACGGGUGCACGCGGAGAGGUCUUCUUUGUGGGUUCAUAGAAGACGAGAGAAAGGUAGGAGAGAUUCAAAAAGAGGGCUAGGGUUGUAGCUACUCUGUUGCAGAAGAGGAGUCAGGUGUAAUCUUCUCUUAUUUAAUGAAUCUUAUUUUACCUGCAUAUUUUUUUCUUUUAUGAUUGUAUCAGCUUUUGCUGAGGAGACGGGUUUAUGGUAAAAACCCGAUUUGACGUUUCCGUUGCGGAAUCCCAACAAUCGAUACCGGAUCCACAGCAGUCGGUAUCGGAGCGGGUUGCGGAUUCACGAGAUCCGGUACCGGGGCGAGUACCGGAUUCCCAACAACGAAAUGAGUAAGAUAAGGUUCCUUCUGCAUUUUUAUCUCUUCUGCCUUGUCAAUUUGUUUUGCUGGAUAUGCUACUUGUAGCCUUCAGAUUUUUCAAAUCUUAUUUUGUAUUGUUUUAUUUUCAGAUUUAGUUAUCUAGAAUAUCUUGCACGCGUAAAAUAUCAUUCUAGAAGUUGGUUAUGGAAUUCUGGAAUAUGUUUUUGGCGAAGCAUGCUGUCUGAAGCACACUAAACUACUAAUAACUGCCCAAGUACAAUUUCCUGUUCAUGCCUAAAGUUGAUCUUGUUUUAUUGCAUUGAUUUUUUUUUUUUCUCCCAAAAUCUGUAAGUGCAAACCUAUUGUAUCAGUUGUUAGUGUUUGUUAAUCCUCGUUGUGCAAGUGUAGCAUAGAUAUGUGCAAGUGUAGGCAUAGAUAACAAUUUGUAUUGCUCUGAUUUUCAUAUAACACAAGCUCUGACAGCUAUUGAGUGCUCAGAAAUCUUUCAGGUUCAGUAGAAUACCAAACUAGAAAAUUUCUCUGCCCAUUUUCCUUUUUUUAUAUUUAGCUUUGUGGGUUGAGUGGAGUAACAUUUUACGAUGCAUGUAUCGAUAUCGUGAUAUAUGGCUGUUGGGCCGACACUAGGGUGGUUUUAGUUCUAUGUCUUGAUGCAUGUUCAUGGUUGGAGUCCUUUUUAUUAUAUCGAUGCUUUUACUUGCAUAUAUGGCUUUUAGUGCCAGAAAGCUAAGAUUCUCACCUUCUAAAUUCCAUUUGAAGUUGUGCAGAAACAGUUCUCUUUUGGUUCGACAUGUCUAUUGUUUAGGUGUUGUCUUUACCUCCCCUGCGCAUUUGUGCAUCAAAGAUUGAGCAAAUUGAAUGUGGUGGGUCCUAAGCAGCAAGUUACAAUCAACUUUGUUUGCUAGUCUAGCUAUUGUCCUUUUGAUGGAGACUGAAGCAUUGCUGUGUUUCUGCUGCAAUUUCUUUCAUUUUGCUUUGUUCAGUUCUGUUUUCAGAUAAUCAGCAACUUUUUUGCAUUGUUUGGCUUGGCGAUUCAAUUUUCUACACCCUUCUAGUCUCUGUCGUCUCCAUUGGACUCAUUGAAACAUUUGUUGCUUUCGGUGAGUAAAGUAUCCAUGCUUGUGGACAAAAAUUUGGCAUGAGAGCACCAUUACAUAUAUUAUUGUUGCUAGAAUCUAGUUAUAGCUAUUUUAGUUGCCCAUUUGGUACUUGCAAUGGAUUAUGAAGAGAUUAAUCACUAGUGCUUUGCUUGGAAGAGAGCAAAGGUGUGUGUAAUGGAUAUUGUACCCAUGCUUGUGGACAAAAAUUCCACUAGAGGCCUGGGAUGCGCCACACGACUGAUCAGGUAGCCUCUAUAUCAUCAUGCUCACAGUUUAAGACUUAGGAAGUAUAAUGAGACUGCUUAGAUUGUGUUCUAUAUAAAUCUUAUCCCCAUCGUAAGUGAAAAAUCGAGAGGUCUUUCCAUAGCAUGAAGAUACAGAAAGUGUUUAGGUCGUUCUCCGGACUCUUCUCUGCUUCUCUCUUUCUCUUGCUAACUUUUUCGGGUCAUCGUACCCUUUCUCACUGGCCUUUGGCCGGAUUUCUUUUCUUUUUUUUUUCUAUAGUUUUUGUUUCAUUAUGUAUGAAGUUAUUUUCCCAAUUUUGUCACAAUCAAGUUAAGUCUUAGUCUCUCUUUUGUUCCUCUCUUCUUCUACUUGAAAAUUUUUUCGUCUUCUCGAAACUUGUCUUUCUUCUGUUUCUUCACUCGGCAUUGCAGCUGUCAAGCACAUCUUUUGGAGCUUGAUGGGUCCAGAGGAGAAACGGUUUUUGGCAUGGUUCGAAUCGGGAGUCGGAUCAACAAUGACCUCUUGAAGCUUGUUUUUCCCUGUCGUUAUUUUUUUCCAUAUUUCUUUUUUUUUUUUUCCUCCAUAUUUUGUUCCUUACGGCCAUUAACAUUUAGGUGCUUAAGUCAGUUUUUUAGUUGAUAGGCAGGUUCAGAGGACCGUUCUAUAUUUUUUUUUUUCUCCAUGCUUCUUCAAUCUUAUAAUAAAGCUCUACUUUAUUAAUGAAUUACCUACGAGCUUCACUCAAAAAACAAUUAGAGUAAAACGGUAGAAAAUUAUGAUCUAAAAUUAAACAAAAAAUUAGAUUGAAACAAUAGAAAUCUAAGAUCUAAGAUUAAAUUAUUGAUUAGGCUUUUUAUUGGGGAGGGUGGGGACGAGUGAGAGGGCAGUUGCAGAAUCAUUGUGAUCACCCUACGCCGGACAAAAUGAUUUGCAUGUGGCUAGAGCUUGUAGGGCUUCACCAAAUACUACUGCUUUUCUUCUACCCGCUCCUCCCAUUCAUGCGAUGGGGUAGGCAACUUCUUUUCGCUAGUGGGGCGCUACGGAGACCAGACCACCACCAGAUGUGGCUUAACCGGAAAGCGACUUCAAAGUUCAAACAACUCCAAUAAUAUCAAAUCUAAUUUAAUUUAAUCUAUUUUUUUUGAGAGAGAAAAGUAAUAUACUAUUCACUUUGUUCGUUUUUUUAUAAAAAAAAAUUAGUUAAAAUUAUAAAAUAAUUAAAUUUUAAAUUUUGAAUUCUGAAUAUCAACCAUCAAGUCCUCUGUUACUUACCUAAGGACGAAGGACGGUCGGUAAUCUAAUAACCUAUUGUUAUUAGUUUUUAUUUGAUAAAUAACAAGAAGCGUAGCUGAGUUGGUGCAAAGCCAACUUAAUUUUUGUCCCCAUCUCCCAAUGAAAUUUCCCCAUCAAAUACGCGUGAGUGUUAACCCAUUGCCCUCAUCAUGCGGUGAAAACAGCUCUUUUACUUUUUCAGCUACAAUGAUCACCGGUGAUCCCUUUGCCUCAUGAUACUUUGUUAUAUCCAACAUUAUUUGUCUCAUUUUUCUAGAUGUACGCACUGGUCAUUGCAGUCAAAAGUGUCUGACACUGUGUAAUCAGGCAAUUUAUUAGUGUUUUACUAAGGACCUCUAUGUGUCCCUACUGUAGGAUUUAACACCUUUAGAUGAAGUGUUCUAAAUUCGCAACAAACUCCACAUCUGAAAUAAAAGCACCUUGUUAAAUACUGUGGGGCUAGGUAUUUAAGCAGCGGUUAAUUAAGACAUUGGACCUCACCUACCUGGUAUUUUUUCCGGAUAUAUGACAUGAACUUAGAUAAAAAAAGUUAAAAACACACUCUUCUCAAUGACUCAGAUUGUAUUAUGAUACGCACCUCGUCUUCCUCAUUACGUUUGGCCCCUUUCACAGCUUUUGGCUUCUGAUUUGCUGCAGGGCUAAUGAUCAACGAUGUGGGGUCGAUCAACCUUCCAACAUUGGAUUGGGUCCGUAGCAGGUCUCAGCAUCAGCGAAAAUAGAAUUUCUAACCUCUUCGAAUAACAAGUACUAGACCAAUUUAAAUAAUUAUUAAUUUUUUAGUUUAAUUACGACAGUAAUAAAAUUAUAUUUACAAAUGAACUGAUAAUUAACUGAAAUAUUUUUUAAAAAAAGGAUGAAAUCUAAAAAACAAAACAAAGAAUAAAUAAAGGGGUAAGUGCAUAUGAUCGUUUGCUACAGAGACAUCCAUUGGUAUCACGUAGAAAGUAUGUAAAUAAUAUCUUUGCUUAUCUUAAUAACUUCAAUGGCAAACCACAUUCUUAUUAUUAUUAGUCAGUUUAUGGUAUUUUAAAUAUCAAGCACUUGAUGCUACCAAAUUUUUUAUCAUUAGACUCAUUUUUUUGAAUAAUUAAUUUCACCUCUUAAAUCAUAUUAUUCAACUAACAACUAACUAAAUUUUAGAAGAAUAACUAUUAUUCUAACACUAUAAAUUUAAUUCAAAGACCGAAAAUUUAGAAGUACUAAUGACUUUGUAUUAUUAGAAGCAUUACAAUCUAAUUUUGUUAUUCUUGUUAUUAUUAUUAUUAUUUUUGUUGUUCAUCUCACUCUCUCUCUCUCACUGAUUUAGGUCCUCGCCUCAUCAGGGCAGGGCCCUCUAAGUAAAAUCCAAAAUGUAAAAGGGGCUCUAUAGAAAUUCCUCUUCUUCGGGCUUUUUCUAUACUUCUUUUCCUCUUCAUCAAAAGACGCAUGCAUUCGCAUUCUCCUUCGCUCACCAUUACUGCUUUCUCCUGUGAAGGAGGGAGAGAGCGAGAGAGAGAGAGGGAGAGAGAGGGAGCUUUUUAUGCACAAACCAUUAAUUAUUCCUCUCCUCGCUUUGUUUGGUUAAUUAUGGACCGAGAAACCACUCAAAGUUCCCAUCUUGGUGUUGCUCACAUUGAUUUUUCUCUUUGAUUUUGUCUUCUCCCCUGGUUUUAAACACGCCCAUUGCGAUUUCUUAAUCCACUCGUAAGUUUUCUGCAUACGAUUUUCUUUUCUAAUUUGUAUAACGUGCUCUUCAAUGUGUUGGGUCGGGAACACAAAUGCGUUCCCGUUUUGGAAUGUUUCUUACUGAAGCUCUAUAGGAAUUGAAUUAGAACUCUAAAGGAACCCCAUUUGCUUAUACUCUAGCUUGUUUCAGCAUUUUCCUUGAUUAAAGCCACCAAUUGUUUCAAUUUUUGCAGUGCCCUUUCUGUGUCACAUAAUAAAAAUCGCAACUUUAGCUAGAACUAGUAGACUCUUCCCCAAAUGUUAGUACAGGGAGAAAAAUCCCACAAAGACCUCGAGGCGGGGCCCCACCGUUGCCCGGCAACGGCGGCGGCGGUGGCCGGUGAUGACUCUGACGAGAGCCUCUGCUUCUCUGACACCGAGGACCGGUCGUGGCAUUCUCGCGAUAACUCAAAUUGCCCGUCCAUUCGUAGCUUAGGGGAAGAAGCAUUUGAGCCUCGUAGGAAAUCCUCCUUAUCAAAUUGCUCUUUUGAAUUCGAUUUGGAAGACGGACUCUCAGAAAUUGAAUCGAAUUUGGAGAAAAUCGAAAGAGAUUGCCGGAUUUGUCAUCUCGGUUUGGAAACUGCGGCUUCGGAGUCAGGUUUCGCGAUUGUGUUGGGCUGUUCUUGUAAAGAGGAUUUAGCUCUUGCUCACAAGCAAUGCGCGGAGACUUGGUUCAAGAUUAGAGGAAAUAAGUAAGACCAAUUGAUUCAACUUUAGUAUCUGUUUUGAUUCUCCUUUGCAUAGUUUGUUAAUUUGAAUAUUUUUGCCCUGCUUUUCCUGCAGUAGAUAUGCAUGAGAUUAUGCCCGCAUUUGGGUUUAGGUUAUGUUGUUUAUGAUUGAUCAGUGAUAGCCGCUACAUGUAGUUCAUGUAUACAUGAAUGGUUAUGGAAUCUAAGUAUUUUUUUUUGUUUCUUAUAAUGGCAAAAGAAUCUAGAUAAUGAGGUAAAGGUAAAAGAGAUGAUAAUAAAUUAAUAGAACCUAAAGAUUAAAGUCAUGAAGCAGGAAUCAGGACUACCAUUGGUAAUCAAAACAUGUUUGCGGUCCUUCACUUUUCCGCCCACCAUUGCUUUUCUCUUUUGUUCCAUAUUCACAUAAGAUGGAAUUUUAACUUACUAAUUUUUUUAGCAUAGGUAUCUUGUUUCUUGGCUAAGUAUACCAACUGUGUAAAAUAUGGACUCGAGUAUAUUUCUCUAAUUAUUGCUUCUAAGCUAAAGGAUUUGAGUUCAAUAUAACUUUACAUUUAUACUUUUCUGUUUCUUUGUAGGAAUUACGUAUAUAUUUCUCUUUCCUUGUUGCGAUUACAUUGGAAAGUGCAUUUUUUGCUCCACUUAUUUUCUCUCUUGUAGCCGUUAUAUUAGCUAAUGUAUACUUAGAGGUGAGCAUGCACUAAAAAUCAGUUAAAAACAGUAAGAUUUCUUCGUAGCUUUUUUUAAUUUAAAGUGGCACUUCAAAUAUUUGAUAACUUCGGAGGUUCAUUAUGGUUGAAGGUGUGCUUUGCAUAAAGUAUUUCUAUCUGAGGUUGAUGAACUUUAGCAAAUGCUACAAUAAGGGCUAGAUACAAAUAGAUAAGAACCAGAGAAAUUGUAACUCAAGUGCGAGAGUUUAUUCACUAAAGGGUCAAGCAUACGAUAUACUUUUAUAACAAGUAAUAACUAGAAGAUAAUUUAUCUUAUAAUGUAAAGGCCCACUUGUCGUCCCUUUGAUUGGAAAAAGAGUUACUACCACGAAACCACCCACAAGUUGAAAAACUAGAAGAGUUUAUACAAGCCUAUUGCAGUGGCGUGCAAUAACUAAAUUCCUUCCCAUAUUAAUGAUGAUUCUCUAGUGCUAACCUAUUUCAUGGGCACUAUUGAUCAUGGCAUUGGUAGAAUAUUUUUUCCAUUCUUGUAAUUUGGAAAUAUUUUAUGAAUUGGUUGUAUGUUUGAAAUGUCCAUGGAAUGAGAGUCAUCCUUUUUUUUUUGUAGUUAGACCUAUGACUUUCCAAAUUAAGCGCAUUUUCUAAAUGGACAAACAAGGUACUUACAAUCAUUUCUAUUAUGGUCAUCAUGAUUUUGUUCAUCCGGGACAUAUACUGGUGUGACAGAGUUUGGACCUAUUGCUAUUGAAAUUCUCAUAAUAGGUGUGAUAGAGAUUAAUGGAAGGUCUCGGACUUGAUAAUUGGCCCAAGUAGAUCUAUUUUUUCUUCCAAAUUGUGUUCCAAUUCUUUUUUUCUUUUCACGUUGUUUCUCCGCGAUGCAUUCGAUACACGCUUCUUUUCAAGGCCCUUUGGUAUUAUAUGUGUCCUCACCAUGCUGAAUUAGUUAUCACUAAUUCACACAAUCCUGGAAAAAUUAUAAAAUCAUGUCGUAAGAGAAUACUUGCUUCACUAGCUUCUGCCGUAAAUUAAGAAGUUUAGCGGCCUCUCUGCUUUGCACACGAGGUUAAUUAAGCAAUCUCCUUACUUUUUGAUUCAGGCUAUGCCAUAAUGUUAUAGCAGCUUUCAUCAGACAUUUUGCUUUCAUAUUCUUAUGUCGGAUGUGGUUAUUGUAUGCUUAAAUUUAUCAGAUUUGACGAUGUUUCUUCUCUUUAGUGGUACAUUUUGAAAGAUAUGACAGCUGCUCUUGCUUCCAUUUUUACUAGGACCUGCGAAAUUUGUGGCUCAACCGCACAAAAUGUGGUCGGUUCCGGCGAGACUGAGUCCACCGAGCAAUCAAAUGAAGCAUCCAAUAUGACAGCGGCGCCCCUGCAACAAUCUGAGACACGAAGCUUUUGGCAGGGGCAUCGGUUUCUCAACUUCCUCCUCGCCUGCAUGGUCUUCGCCUUUGUUAUUUCCUGGCUCUUUCACUUCAACGUUCCGGGAUAAGUUCGAGAACAACAUCUACUGUUUUCCAUCCUUUAUGCCGACUGCUUAUCCCAAGGCGAGGCUACUGCUGGAAAAUUCUGAAGAAGAUUGGGUGAAAAUUGAUGACUCUUACCAAGAAUCUGUGGCCUAUUAUGGAAUAUUACUUGCAUUGCAAAGGUGUUUUUAUGUAAAAGAAGAUAAAUGCGAGCCGAAGGGAUCUGAGAUCUGAAACUGCAGGUUUAUUCUGACUAGAGGUGGAACUGAGAGUGUGGGAUUGGUAAUGUGCUGCCGAUUUAAUAGUCAGAUAUCUUUCGUGUAUUUGUUCCUAAACGUUUGAUUAUGUAUUGGCAUGUGUUCUUUUAUUAAGUUUGUGAUUCAUGUUUCGCAAAUAUGCUGGUCCUUCUAUUUGGAAUCUGUUACCUAAUCUUGUUUCUUUUUUGUAACAAAAAACAGUGACUACAUGAUCCAUAACACAUAGCUUCUAAUCUUUCAUUAUUUUUAAUUUCAAGUAUUACAGAGGUUAAUUGUUGAAAUCAAAAUCUGUAGGUGUUGAAAUCAAAACUUGCAGGUGUUGAAAUCAGUAAAGAUCUGAAACUAUUUUGGUGAGUUAGCUCUAAUCAUCCAAGCGAAAUAUUCAACAACCUAAUGGAUGGGAGUUGAUCCUAUUUUCUAUAAAUUUGGAUGGUGGAUAGGAGUCGAGUAAUUUUGUGUGCGCAACCACUUCCUACUAAUUACCAACCUGUAGAACAGAUCGAGCAAGCUCAUCUUGUGAAACAAGUCAUGCACACUAGCUUUUAAUUCUUUAAUUGAGCUAAUCACCGUUUGCAUCUACGGUUGCUUAAGGUUUAAUCUGAUAGUUAGGCCGGCUUGUUUUAUUAAGAGUUUGAUUAGUUUUAAAGCAUGGUUGGACCGCGAGGACGAUAUACAAGGUUUUAAGUGCCCGUCGAUAGCGGCCGUAUCCACCGUGCCGUACCGUACCAACAAGAUACCGGCACGAUACAGACCCAGUGCCGAUAGCACAACUCAAAACCCCCUAUUUUUUAAAUUAGUAAAUAAUUUCAUUAAUAAAGUUCAAAAGAUGUGAUAAAAAGACAUAAUAAAUAAUUAGAAUAUUUUGUUGUUUAAAAAAAUAAAUAUUUCAUACUAUUAUAUGUCGGCACUCGGCACAAAAGAAUUUUUUUGACUGGCACGCAUAGGCACGUACCGUGCCGUACCGUACCGGCAAGUUUUCGGCACAAUUUCGUGCCAUGGCACUUAAAAUCCUUGACGAUAUAUAAUCUGGUACUGAUCGAUCGAUGUAUUUACACACUUAAUUAAAAGCCAAAGACGCCCUCCAUAAAAAAGGGAGGUUGCUUCGCUCCUUAAAUUAAGCACGAGUUAUAUAAUUAAAUAUCAGAUUCUGGAUAAUGCAAUCGACAUUCCCAAAUAUUAAACUGUGUAAACAAAUCAUUUGCAACUUAAAAUUAAUAUCUUUAGCUCUUUUUUCGCAGGAUGAUAAUAUUUUUGCCCAGUUCCUUGAACAUUCGGAGCAAUGGACUACAUAAUAAACCGCAUGAAUCAGAGAACAUUCCUAUGCAUUAAUUAUAUAUACAGAAGAAUAGCUAGAAAAAGAAAAAAAAUUGUACUUACUAGAAUAUGUGAUGAUAAUAUUAAAUAAGAAAGAACAGUAGAUCGUGCGUGAGUUAACACUUUAUGAUUACGUGUCGGAUGGUGCAGCAGCAACUCUAGUGAUUUAGUUUUAUGAAACUAAACUCCCUCCUCGUGAUGGAUUUAUUAAUUAUCUAUGCUCUUUGUUUCUUUGGUCGGUUGGGUCCGUGCCGGGCUCAACGAGUCAUUUUAGCCUAUUUUUAAGUAGGAUAUAUAUAUAUGUUGGUGCAUGUCUCUGCAGGGUUAUGGUCCGGAUGAUAUUUCAUUAACUUUGUCGCUCAAGCAAACGUGUGAAUGUGUGAUGUUGUUGGCUUUUCAUGGAAAUAAUAAUUGUUUGCUGUGAGUAAUUUUUGUCCGGGACCAAACUAAUAGAUGGGACGGAUCAAAUCAUUAAUUCCAUAUUCCUAGUGUGUUUAAUUAAAAAUAAUAGAAAUUAGUUGGAACACACUAAUUUAUGUUGAGAAAGAAAAAUCUUCAUAUUUAUGAUACAUACACACACACACACAAUUUAUGUUGAGAAAGAAAAAUCUUCAUAUUUAUGAUACAUACACACACACACACACACACACACACACACACACACACACACACAGAGUCGAUUGAUCUUUUAUUAACUCAGAGUUAUACAAGUGAAAGUUAGUUUAUACUAAAACUUUUUUUUCCAAGUCUGAAUACAACUUGGAAUUGAAUAAGUUAUGAAAAAUGUGCUAGGCUAGAUUCAGCCUACUUGCUAUUUAAUUUCUUUUUUAAAAAAACAAAAAGUGUCAGACUAAAUUAAAAGUCAAUAAUUUUUCAAUAAAAAAGAAACGAAAGAAAGAAAGAAAGCAAAGUUAUAGUGUAGCUUUAUAAAGCACUUACGGUGCAUGUAGCUAGACCAGUUCCAUGCAGCAGAAGCUUCAGCGGAUCUAAUGUUCCCAACGACCGCUAUCAACCCCCAACGCAUCCUAGCCGAUGAUCCUUGAUUCGACGCUCUCAAUCAACCAAAGACUAAAUUAAUAGGAACUGCACAAAUAGCUUAAAAUUUUAAGCCAAUUGAUUUUCUUAAUUUCAAACCCCAAAUUAAACAAUUUCGCGACUACGUCCUAUAAAACCAAAUCAAUAGCAACACCGUGCGCUCACGUUCACGACUGGACUAUACUAUAACUACAUCUCUAGCUCACUAACCCUUUAUAGAGAGAGAGAGAGAGAGAGAGAGAGAGAGAGAGAGCUAGUUCUCCAUUGAUCAAUAUACAUUCCUAUGAGGAAGCUGUGCCCUAAUUUCGACAAAGAAGAUGGGUUGGACACCGUCCUCGAAGUCCCCAUCCCCGAGGAAAUGUUCACCUCGGGCGGCGGUGGUGGCGGUGGCGGCGGCGGCGGAGGCAACAAAUUCUGGCGCAAAAAUGUGAGGACGUCCGUGCGGCCGGGCAGCCGCUCCACUUCGUCCUCCCUCGGCAGGGCCGCCGAGCUCCAGCUCAUGCUUAGUGUCGUCGGCGCGCCGCUCGCUCUCCUUCCGGUCCCCGCCCAUAAGAGUACCAUAGCGAACUGCAACCCGAAGGACGGCCCUAUAGUACGUUCAGAGUUCUUAAAUAUCGAUCGUUCCGCGCGUAUAACAUAAAAUGGUUAGGAACAAAAGUGAUGAGAUUGCUCAUCGUAUGAUUCUUUUAAUUAUUACAGGAGGCAUCUAUGGCGAAGUACAUAAUACAGCAGUACGUAGCGGCGGUGGGCGGGGAGAAGGCGCUGGACGCGGCGAGCAGCAUGUACGCGAUGGGGAAGGUGCAGAUGAGGUCGACGGGGAUUAACGGCGACGGUCGUGGCAAGAAGGGAGGCGGGGGAGGAGAGGUGGGGGGGUUCGUGCUGUGGCAGAAGCGGCGGCGGCGGCGGCCGGAGCAGCUGAUGUGGUGUCUGGAGCUGAUGACGGUGUCCGGGUGCAAGAUCAGCGCAGGGAGCGACGGCAGGGUCGCGUGGCGCCAGACGCCGUGGCAGCAGCCCCACGCCUCCCGCGGACCGCCACGCCCGCUCCGCCGAUCCCUACAGGUCCUUUGUUAAACAUUAAUGCUUAAUUUGCUAAUUCUGUAUAAUAUAAUUUCUAUAUUUUUGUAACAAUUUCGUGCCUAGAGCAAAUGGCAAAGGACUUGGUGAUUGGUAUUCAAGACCCAAGUUUAAAUUCUAGUUAAUUCACAUUUCCAGCUAAGUUUAUUUCUAAAUGAAAUAAACGAAGCAUGUAGCAUGCUAUCUAUCUCUAAAAAAAAAAUAAUAAUAAAAUAAUUUUGUGCUAGUAGUUCAAAAAGGUUAUUUAUUUUAGUGCGGUUCCCUGGCCGAUCGAGCUAUCUAUAUUAACUAAAAUUUUAAAUUAUGUACAGAGAGAUUAAUUAUUGUCUGGUCCUGGUCUGACGUUUUCGUAGAAAAUUAAUAAUUAAGCUCAAUCUCUAGUUCCCGUCUUGUAUAAUUCUUUUUUUAAUAAAUUUAAAUAUAGUGAGUCCAUUUCUACAUUCAAUUUGUUAUUAUAUAAAUUACGAAUUAAAUUAUGACUUGACAUGGAGGAAAAGCGCUAAACGUGAGGCCAUGUGCUAAGCGGACAAAUUCACAUGGCGAUGGUGGUGGGUUGUUGUCACACCUAUAGCUAACUAACGGGGCGUUCCUCACAAGGAGCAUAACUACCGGUUCCCCCCNCUAUGCGGUCUCACCUCACGCUCAGAACCAAACACAAACUACUAGCUAGAUCACACACUUUGUCAACAUGGUAGGAUGAACAAAGUUUCACUUUAAUUCGCACCAACCAAAUCGGGCCACUCUAAUUUAGCUUGAUCUCGUUCUGCUUGUGCUGCUGCUGCUGCUGCUGAUGUUAUUAGUAAUUUCAGAAGUAUCGACAUCACCGCUUAAUUAUUAAUUAAUCCUAAAGCCUGACUGAAUUUGAGCGCAAUCGAUCAUACCGACCAACGACAGGGUCUGGAUCCCCGGCUGACCGCGAACCUGUUCGCCGACGGCGUUUGGGUGGGGGAGAAGGCGGUGGACGGGGAGGCGUGCUUCGCGCUGCGGGUCGACGCCGACCCCGCGGCGCUCCGCGCCCGCGGCAGCGGCGGCGUGGAGAUCGUGCGGCACACGGCGUGGGGGUAUUUCGGUCAAAAGACGGGCCUCCUCCUCCAGCUGGAGGACUCCCACCUCAUCCGCGUCGACGGCGUCUACUGGGAGACCAACACCGAGUCCUUCCUCCGCGACUACCGCGCCGUCGACGGCGUCGGCGUCGCCCACGCGGGGCGCAGCCACGUGGCGCUCUUCCGCUUCGGCGACGACGGACGGUCCACGUCGCGCGUGGAGGAGACGUGGACGGUCGAGGAGGUCGAGUUCAACAUCGUGGGCUUGUCGGACGACUGCUUCUUGGCCCCCGCGGAUCUGCAGGACGACGUGGGGGAUGAUAAGGGAGGGAGGACACGUGGCGGGACGCAGGCCGCUAGUGCCAGGAACAUCGGCCCCGCGCAGGUCGCCGCCGUUGAUAGCGAUCCGGCCGGAGGAGGAGGAGGCGGAUGCAAACUAAUUACUUAUUAAAGCUGCGAACUUUUCACUUUUUCUUUUUUCAUUUUUUUUUUUUGGUUGCUGUAUAACCAACCAAUGGCUUCGUGUAAAUAUGUAUUCAGAAGUUUGCGCCCAUGGAGAAAAAAAUUGAGGUGGUUAAUUAUAUUAUAUAUAAGACACGUUGUGAUCUCUCUUUUGAGAUGAGUUAUAUUGCUGCAAAAAGCGUUUACGCGGAACGGUGCGGGGCCAAUGUCGUCACAGAGCCGUGAGAAAGGCCAGGCCACGAGAGUCAACGCUAGUUAGUUCCCUAUAGCCAGCUCCCCACGUACGGUCCAGCCCCCCCGGGUGGGAUUUUUUUUUUUUCACAAUACAAUUUCAUUUUUGUUCACAAUACAAUUUCAUCGUCCAUUCAAAAUGAGAUCAAUGAAAAAGGAUGAGAGAGAGAGAGAGAGAGAGAGAGAGAGACUUAAUAAAUUAGGACAUAACACUGGAAGUAGCUAGGCCCUUUAUUUAAUUACUAGCUAGUGCAUUUUUGGGCUGCAACACAGCAAACAGGGGGGGCCGGGAAGAAAACAAACCUGAACGUGGAAAUUUAAACACACGUACUACACAUGCUCGCUUCAAGCAGCUAACUAACACUCUUUUAUUAACUAUAGCUAGCAGACCCCUAGUACGUAUCACACACACACACACACACUGCAUGCACACGCGCCGCUUUCGUCACAAAACCAAUGAUCAGUAGAAGUCCAGAUCUAGACCUGCAUGCAGAUAUAUGAUCGACGGCAUAUGCAUGAUCGAUCGAUGAUCAGGCAGAUGAGAUGUCGAUGGCCUUGGACGUGGGCUGCUGCUUGUCCUGCUUGGGCACGGUGACGGUGAGGACGCCGUUCUCCAUGGACGCCUUGGCCUCGUCCGUCUUGGCGUCCCGCGGGAGCCGGAACCGCCGCAGGAAGCUCCCGAAGCGGCGCUCCAGGCGGUGCCAGCUGCUGCCCUCGGCCUCCUUCUCCUUCAGCUUGUUGACGUCGUCGCCCUCCUCGUUCUCCUCCCGCUUCCUCUGCCCGCUUAUCUGCAGCACGUUCCCGUCCUGCACCUCCACCUUCACCUCCUCCUUCCUCACCCCGGGCAGAUCCGCCUUUAUCACGUGCGCCUCCGCCGUCUCCUUCCAGUCCACGCGUGCACCGUACGACGUAUCGUCCAGAUCCCACAGGUCGAACGGGUCGAACAGGAAUAUCGGGUCGAUCGACAUUUAUUUGAGUAAUCUUAAUGAUAAUAAUUAUAUAAUCAAAUUACGUACAUACGUCCGAAUGGGCGUGCUUUACUUAAUUGUAUGUAUAUGGGCUGCGUUUCGUGAUCAGGGAGGUGUUCGACAUUUAUAGGAGGGUGGAAACGGCACUGGGUGUAGACGUGAAACUUCGAGUGCUUUCUUUUUCAUUUUUCUAUUAUUAUUUCGUUUAUAUUUUUUCAUUUUUUGAAAAUAAAAUGGAAGAGACGGGAAGGACACGUGCGCGGUGUGUGCGUGCUUCUACGAGCUUCCAUAAGGCGCGCGGGAGAAAAAGAAAGAAGUACGAUCCCUUAAAUAAAUUUGCUAAUUAAAAUCAGAAACGAUUAGAUACGUAUAAGUUUAAUUGCAUUUACUUUUGAGUAAGAGGAACAUGGGAUUUGUGUUAAGAAGCGCUUGAAUCAACCUAAAAAACUUGAUCAUGCGAUGCAUCAACUUGAAUCCAACAAAUAAAUAUGAAUCAACAAAUUAAUUGUAGGAUACUUAACAACAGAUUGGAGGUGGGUGUGUGUACACACGUGUGAAUGCAUGCAUGUGUGGAUGCGUACGUGUGUGCCAUAAUUGAGAGGCCUAGGUGCUUCCUUGCAUGCUUUGUUCGUUACUUAUUAAUGAAGAUAAAAGCAAAGGUUUGCCUGUACCUACGUGUCCCAAAAAAGUACUGAAGAGAAUCAAUUAUGAUCAACGUUCAAAAUGCACGACAAAUUUGGUAAGCAAACUUAAAGGAGUGUAAAGAGAAGUUUUGGAUAGAGGUAAACUUAAAAAGGAGAAAAGAACACUAAUAAGUUUAGACGUAAAGCAACAAGGAUUGCUAACCCACGUAAGUCAAAUUAUGGGAUCGCCAAAAUUGCUAGAAUCGCUGAAGAACAAGCUGAGGCCUAACAUUAUGGGCCGGGGUCGCUGCAAAAAGAAUUAAACUAUAUAUUGGGACGCUGACAUAUCAAAAAUAAUCUCACAUGAGAAAAAACAAAAAAGGAGAAAGAGAAAGAGUAGAGAAUUAAUUGAGAAGACUUAGUACAUAUCAUCGGGCCCAUACGUAUUGGCUUUUCAAGUUUACGGGUCAAAUAUGUUUGAAUAGGUGUGUCAUAUAGACGGGUCAUGUGGGCUUAGACCACCAGUAUCAGAGCCAUGAGUUGGCAACCUGUUCCCAUCGGGUGGUAUCAAGUGAUCCUGAAUUACGCCUAACACCACGUUAGGUGGCAUGAAUGCCAACCAAGUUUCAACAAAUAACAGUACUGAUCUCAAUAAUGUUUUAUUAGGGCAGAUAAAGAAACUGUUUAUGGUACUGAACAGUGUUGUUACCUUAUUAGAGAGCUCAAUGAAAUUCCAAGACCACACCUGGGGAUCGAGUAAUAGAUGUGUCGGCCGUAGAACCCGUCUUACAUAUUUUUCGAUCCGUCACACCAAUUUAUAAAUAGCAAGAGUGAAGGCAUACUUGUAGUUCAACUCACAACCAAUCGAAGGACCUGCUAACAAACAUUAAGGUUCAGAGUCUUAAUCCAACAAUUUAUUUAAGCGAAGUCAACAAUUAGCUGCAACGAGCAUGAAUUAAAUUAAUGAAUACAUAAACAGUAUUCAGAUUACGGUGUGAUGCUCGAAAGAUCCUGUGAUGGGCGAGGCUAGAUUAACGGCGUAGAAUAAUACACAAAAUAUUCGUAUACGUGACAAAACUCACAACAUAGAUUCACUGAAACAUAACACUAUAACGCGCGUACGUAGAACGUUCCGAACAGGGCCCACAGAUAGCCAACAAAGACGCAACAAUAACUAUUUGGAGCCCAUGAAGCGAUUGUACAGUAAAGAUACAUGGUCCCAUGUGUAUACAUGAUUUGGCAGAGAAAUAACUAACAACAAUACCUGAUAUUAUUAUUGUUAUUUUUAUUGUUCGCACGUAGAUAGUAAGAUCAUAUCUAUCUAUAUAUAUGGGGUGCAAAAUGCCAACCUAACUAAACCUGUGAGUUGGGUGCGAGCAACGUGACGAGCACAUGGUGGGCCGACCAUCUCUCCCACGAUCCACCCCAUUCCAGCCCAUCGCCAACCCAUCCCCACCGAUUUACACUACGCACACAUUAUUAUUAAGUGGGAGAACGUGCACACCACUCAACCAACUCUUUCCCCCUCAUGAAACCCUAACCCGAUAACACAACAUGCAUGCAUGCAUGGCUUUGUCCUUCUCCACCAAUUAUUAUUUAUUAUUAUGCUAGCUCUCUUUUUCUUUUUGUUCUUUUUUUAAGCCCACUCCAGUACUAUAUUAAUAUAUUAAUAUUCAUAGCCGAGGUUUGACUUGGUCAACACGUAUAGAGAAACACACUUACACCACUAUAUGUAAACCCGAAACUGUAGGGUCCGAAUCCCAACAAAAGACGUAACACCGAAUAAAAGCGAGGGGGUACGGCAAACAAGCCCUUGUUCCCCACAAAAGGCUUCGCGCUCAAGCAACCUCUUUUACACCCAUAUCGCUCUCACAGCUUUGCAAGCAAAAGAUUACGAAUAAUAUAUAUUAAAUCCAAAACAGAAAAAAGCAAAUAAAAAACACAAAAGUGGAUGCAUCAUUUUCCAACGUAAAACUUACAAGAGGGGGGGAAGGAAAAGACCCAGAAAUCACGCCCGAAAAGCACAGAUUCCGUUUCGGGUAUCAAGGAGAAAGAAUCCAAGGACAAGAAAGAAUUAAUCGAAGCAAUUUAAGCGGAACCAAAUAAUAUAUAACCAAUAAUAAUUAAAUACAAAAUAAUAAUAAUAUCACUUGCUAUUGAACUUCCAUAUUACAAUACAGUUUGCUCCAUACAUAAUACGACAAACCAACACCUUCUUUUUCACCCCCACAGUAGAAAACAGCAGGUGUUAGAGAUAAACCAACACGGAUAUCAUAAUGCUUCUUAUUAAUAAAAAUCACUUUUGCAAGAAAAGGGCUCGCUUAAGAGAGAGAGAGCGAGAGAAAUAGAGAGAGAGAGAGAGAGAGAGAGAGUUCGGUGGCGCCUUGGUGAGUUACCGCGGGCGGAUCUUAUUGCACAAAAAUAAAAAACACAAACCAAGGCCUAAUUCUUUCUCCAAAACGUUACUUAUUCUCUCCGCCCAAAACCUUUCCAACUUUUCCGUUUUCCCAAGCUGUUUGACCACCCCCCCCUUUUUUUUUUUUGCAUUUUGGCCUUCGAACAUUUCCGUCUUUUCCCCAGAAAAGAGAAAAAAACCAACACCAAAUACUCCCUCUGCUCCAAUCCGACCAAAAAAAAAAAGGAUAUACCUACUACUAAUGCUUCUAUUAGUAAUGCUACUUCUACCUAAACUAACAAUUAAAAGGGUUAGUAGAGAGAGAGAGAGAGAAAGGGGAUGCAGGGAAAAGGUUAAUAAGUCCACUCCUGAGGAAGAUGAAGCUCAUGGGUUGUAACAGUGGAGGGGGGUUGGGGCCGGAGAUAGUUGUUGCUGCGCUUCUGAUGCGGGAGCAUGGAGUUGCUUCGACCAAUUAGAACAUCUGAAUAACAAGCAGCGAAAAAAAUAAAAAAGUUAAUAUAAUCAAGCAUUAAAAAUAGAUGGAGAACGUAAAAAAACUGGAGAUUAAUCAAGUACCAUGGUCGAGAACGAAGCCACCGGGGUAACGCGGUUGCGUUCCCAACUCAUCCGGGUUUAAGUUCAACGCUUGGAUCACUCUAAUCGGGAGAAGCACGGUGGAACAAGCUACAAUUACCCAAAAAUAAAUAAUUAGAAACACAAGUACUAUACAUCGCCCAGUAAUAAUAAUAAUAAUAAAAUAUGAGAAACCACACUAGUUAAUUCUUCUUGUGCUUAUAAAAAAAAAAAAUCUAAUCUAAAUCUGGGGGUAAAAGAAAAAAAGGCUUUUUCCGGGGAUCGGCGGGAGCUCCUGGGCGCCGGGGCAGGAAGACGCCGGUUCCCGCGCUCUCGCGUUUCGCGCCGGCGCCGGCGAGGAAUAUGGCGCGCAUCCCCGACCCCUGCGGCGGCGGAGGCGGCGGCGGCGCCGCGGGAGGCGGCGGCGGAGGCUUCUGGAGCGGCGGCCACGCCGAGGGGGAUAACCCUAGCGGAGGACUAGAACGCUCCUCCCCGUACCCUCCGCCGCAGGACCGCACCCUGCUAUUAUGCGACCUCCCCCACGCCGCCGCAGAAGCCGCAUACUGCUGCUGCUGCUGCUUCAAAAUCUGCUGUUGCCUUAGCUGAUAAAACUAUCACCAACAAAAAUUAAAAAUUGAAAAAAAAAAAAAAGAAAAGAAAGAAACCAUGCUGUUAUAUUUAAAAAAUUCGAGCACUAAAAUGCGAAAGUGGAGAGGACUGGGAACUUACCUGAGCUGCUUGUAAUUGGCGGCGAGCGAGCACCGGAUCUGGGAAAAAGCUCUUCGGAGGAGCCGAAGUCGGCGCCGGAGAAGGUUUCGUCGCCGACUCCAGCGCACCGAAGCCGUAGAAGGUACGCUGCUUCUGUAGGGUUUCGUGGUUUUCCAUAGUAGUUUUAUAUAGCAAAUCCCAGGGCUCGUCGUUGCUCUUCUCCAGCGGAGAAGUCGGCGGCGAGAUCUGAGAGGUCCCGUUAGGGCUCUCGUUCCCCGGCGCCGACAUCAGCCCCACGCCGCAGAGCGUGGACUGUGGCGACCCCGAUAUCACCUAAAAAAUUUGAGAAAAAUUAAGAACGAAGACCCUAGAUCCGACGAUUUGGAAACCUCCGAAUCCGAGGAGGGAGUGGAGCCGCACCUUAGGGUUUUGAGCGGCGAGGGUGGAGAGCCCCGUGUUCUCUUCGUCGUCGUCGUCGAGGAGGAAGGAGUGGGUCAUCCGGCGGGUCAGCCCGGCGAGGUAGUCCUCCUCGUCGCUCUCCGUCUCCGCCGCCGAGUCGGCGGGCGAGUCCGAGGCCGAUCCGAGCCCGCUCGCGAAGCUCGACUCGUGAGAGCCGAACCCGCACACCCGACGCCUCUUCUCGUCGAGGAAGAAGUCGUCCUCGAGUAGCUCCGACGGGAGCCACAGCCCGGCGUCUCCCGCGAGCUCCUUCGCCAUGGCCGAAGCUGGAAAGUGGGAGAGGUGGGUUUCGCGGGAUGAGGAAGCGGUAAUAAUGGCGCCGCGCUCACUCCGGGAGUAUGAUUUCUCUGUCCCUGAUUAGAUUAUUCUCCUCCUCCUCCUCCUCCUUCUUCUUCUUCCUCUUCUCCUACUCCGCUGUGGUGUCUUUCCCACUCUCUCCCUUUGGGUUCCUCCUCUACUCUCUUUCUCCCACUAAUUUUUCUUGCUACGAGAGAGAGAGAAAAAUAGAGGGGAGGGGAGGAGAGAGAAAGAAGAGAGAGAAAGGGAGGGGUGAAGGCGCAGAGAGGUUUAAAGAAGGGAAUGUCGAGGGAGGAGAACAAAGGAGGAGCAGAGGAGUUAUAACAAGCGGCCGCUCUCUCGGUUAUAAGAGAACGGGGAUGUGGAAGUGAAUUAAAAUAUUAUAAAAUAUUUUAUAAAACUUUUACUUACAAUAUAUAAUAAAUAUACUUUUAUAAAAUCAACUCCAAUAUCUUUUUAAAUUGCAUUUAAGUCUCCAUAAUUUACCGUGGUCCUUUAAAACUACCAAAGAAUCGUCCAUAUUAGUCCUAGUUUUUACUUUUUAUCCUAGUUAACAUAAUGUGAGGUACUAUGCCCUUUCAACUCUAGUUUUUUCUUCUUUUCUUUUUACUUUCGCAAAAAAUCUCUUCCAUAGUAGUUCCUUAAAAAAAAAAAAAUUACUUUCUCGUCCCUAUUAGUCAUAAAUUUUUUUUAUUAAAAGAUAUUUGUAGAGUAAACAUUGAGCCAAAAUAUUGUUAAGUAUAACCUGACUAAUUAAUAUGCACAAUUCGAACUAGAUAAAAAGCUUUCAUGGAUUAUUUUUUAAAAAUUAUUUAAUAUUACUGGCUUAUUAUAUGCAAAGCAAAAGUUUCGGAAAUCAGUGGCUAAAAUAGACAAAAGAGGAGCAGAGCCCAGAGGAAAAGACACACGGUUGCACGUUUGGCCCUCUCACUCACCAAGCAUCUACUGUUUUGACAGAAACACCCCUUGGCUCCCAACUUUUACAUUUCCUACCGAGAGGGCUUUUUCGUAAUUUUGGCAAACUGGUUUUUUUAACUAUAAUAAUUUUAAAAAAUAUGAAUAAUUAUCCGUAUACCUUCGUACAUUUGAAAAUAUCCAAUCUAUCCCUUUUUUUUUUCUUUGUAAAAUACCCCUUAUAUAUUCUACCGUUAUUGCAAAAUAUCUCGGCAAUUAUUUUCUGUUAAAUUAAUUUGGGUUAAACGUGAGUUAAACAUUUACCACAGUAAAAAAAAAUUUAAAAUAUCAAUUUUGUCCUUAACUUAAGGGCAAAUAAAAAAUAUUGGUAACGGUAGAGGGGUUUAUUGAAAAAGAUUAGAAGUCAAAAUAGUUUUUGUACCCCUAACUUUAAUGACAAAUAAGAAAGUCAGCGAUGGUAGAAGGGUAUAUUUGAAAUGGCAAAAUAGUAAUUUUAUGGAGAUAAUAUAGUUCAUUAACAGAUUUUAACUCUAUGGGUAUAUUAGAAAUAGAUUGUAAUGUAGAAAAGUUAUUUUCAAUAUUAGUCUUCUAAAAAAGAUAAAGGGCUUUUUUUGCAAAUAGCCCCUUUACAAAUUUUUUUUUUAAAAUUGGCCCUGUCAAAAAUUUAUUUGCAAAAAUGGCCCUGGCCUCGCCACGCAAGCGCCACGUCAGUCGCCACGUGUUCGGGGACUGGGCAUUCAUGUAUGUUAUAGAUUAUAGAUAUAUGGAUGUUGCAUUGUGUGUGUCUCUUCUGACAAAAUUUUAUGUUAUUUUGGGCUUUUUUUGCAUGAUUGCCCCGUGUCUAUAUAUAUUUUUUUUAAAUUGGCACUGUCGAAAAUUUAUUUGUAUAAAUGGCCGACGGUGCAACGCAUUCGCUACGUCAGUGCCACUCGGACGAGGCUUUGCCAGAUGGUUAAGUUGAACACGGUGAAUGGUUCACCGUGUUCAAUUCAACAUAGCUCGGCUCGCUCUGUUUGUAUUGGGCGACGGUGGACGUUUCACCGUGUCCAAUACACCAAUUUUGUAUUGAACACGGUGAAUGGUUCACCGUGUUAAACUUAAACACCUCGGCUCGCCCUGCCCGCGUGGCGCUGACGUGGCGUUGGCGUGGCAGGGGCAGGGCCAUUUUUGCAAAUAAUUUUUGGACGGGACUAUUUUUGCAAAUAAAAUUUGUCAGAGGGCUAUUUGCAAAAAAAGCCCAAAGAUAAAUCGUAAAAUAAAAAAUAUUUUAGAAAUAUAUAAAUAAUUGUCCCUAAAAAUUAUGUAUAGAAAGUUUCUUCUGUCCACUCCAAUAAAUAUUCCUGUAGCUUAAACUAAAAUAUAUCCCUCCUUAAUUUUUUUACUUGAAUAAGUUAUUUGUUGGUAUUAUAGUUAAAUAAGUUGGCUUCACGGUUAGUUGACCAAAUUGUGGAAGAUGGGGGAACCAUCCAAAUCGUCAGGGUGGUUUGGAUAUAAUUGAUUAAAAUAUGUAUAUGUUAAUUAGCUGGUAAUAGUUAUCAAAACUUGUCGUGCAUGUAAUUAAGGAUAAGAAAUUUCAUGCAACUUAUCUAGACUUAUAGAAAAUCAUUCAACAGAAGGAGAUAAAAAAAAUGUGUCAAUUAAGUAGGAUUGAAUCAUGAUUAAUAAGAGUAACAAGUUUAUUGUUUCUACCACGAUAAGUAUCUGAGUCCUUGGUGCAGCGAAGAAGGAAAGCAAAAAAAAAACAUGAUUAUUUUGGAUAAAAAAGGAUAAAGUGAAAGAAGCUUUUCUUAGCUGUUAUCCAAAUUAUUCACGCACAACUUCAUAUUCUCAAGAUAUUCAUAAAUCAUACACACUUAUCAUUUUCAUAUAUAUAUAAAGAAAAAGAAGUUAAAUUUCGUUUUUAGAAACAUAUAUAAUACCUCAACAUGCUUGUACUUUUAGCCUUCGAAUCUGUCUUGAGAUCAAUGUAAUAUUAUAUUACAGAAUAUAAAUUCAUAAACUAAUGUCUAGAAAAAUUUUAAUCAUAUUUUAAAAAUAUUAUUUAGCUGGAUUGAGAUUUUAGAAUGUCUUGCUAUAUAAUACUCGCCAUAUAUAUUUCAAUAUCUGAUUUUCAAUAUUUGUUUAUGUUGUAUAUUAUACAGUAAAUUUGGAAAGAUAUAUAUGUAUAUAAGCACAAAGAAAUUACUGGUUAUUAAUGAAAAUUUUAUGCAAUUUUACACUACUAAAUAUUAUUAUUGUUUUCCCGUGCUUACUUAUGCUAAAAAAAAUUAUAUAUCAGGAUUUGAGUAAUUAUUAAUAUUUUAAAACGUAUUUAUGAUUUUAUGAUUAUUAUUAUUAUUAUAAAAUGACUAAAAUUCCUGAAACACUAUCUCAACGAAGGGGGGUUGGGUCAUUAUAUAUUCACACGUCAAAAAGGGUUUCACCGCAUUACCCCAAUUAAGACGGUAAGAAUACCACCGCCGAGUUACCGCUCGUAACGGACACUGCCCUAUGCGCCCGGUCUAAUAACCUCUCACCGAAAAGUUACCGCCACGAAAACUCUCCAUUUCCGCAGCCACCGGUCCACCGCAACGCAAAAUGUAAGGUUACUUUCGUACUCAAGCUGUGUGCGGUAUCCUCACCGCGCAUCACUCCACGUCACCGCGCGGAAAUAUCAGGAAUCUCGGGUUCGUGUGGUGACGUGGCGGUGGCGGAGAUUCUCGCGGGGGUAACCGUCGCCCGUUACUCUCCCGCUUCCGCCUUCAGGUGGAGAACUGGAGAACGAACGACGAGCCCACGACACACAAUUUUUAAACCACCAGACCCCCCACCCCACACUUCCGUCACCGUUAACUCUAACGGCCGUUUCGUAACGGCGCUGCUCGAAAUUAACGUUCCCGCCAACGCCACUUAAGUACGACGCGAAGUUAGGGAGUGGGGGAUAAUUAAAAGGAAAAACUAAAAACUAAAAACUAAAAACUAAAAAGGAAAGGGCAAACCGGGCGUGGGCCCCACUUUCCCUGUUCGCGGACGCAACUCCGCUAAUUUAUAUCGGGUUAAAUUUCCCCGGACGCCCCCCCUCCUCAAAGAAAACACGAAAAUUGUUUUGCAUUCGCUGAUGCUAUGUUUUUACCGUAAAAAGGAAAAAGGAGGGGAGAGGGGGGGGUGGUGCAGUGAAAAAAAGCUAUUGCUCCCUCCCGUAAAGCAAAAAUCCCACACACUGCUCUUGGAAUAUGAUAAAAUUAAUAUUUUGAUCAAAUAAAUGCGAUUUAAAAAAAUCAUUUUAUGAUUUUAUUUUUAUAUAUAUGUAUAGAUAUUAUUAUUAUUAUUAUUAUUAUUAUUAUAAACACCAAAAGGGGCAAGGGACAAGUUCAAUUUAUUUUGAAUUCAAAAAUUUAAAUUUGGAGCCGCGGAAUUUUGUCCUAGUGGUGGGGGGAGCUGGGGAUGAAAACGUGGGGACGUGCUUAUUUCCUGACGAAAAGGACGGCACAAGAGAAACGAAAAUAGAAAAUUUAUAUGUGUGGCAAAAUUAAAAGCCUGUAAAAAGUGUAAACUGCGGUGCUGGGGAAACGGAUGAACGUUGGAGGAGGGGAAACGCGUUUCGCGGAAGAGGGCCGGGCCCCUCUUUGCGGGCCGGGUUGCACGAAAAACAGCGUUAGUGGCCCAGCUGUUGCUGGGCUUUUUUCUCCGUACACCGAGACGACGUGAAGAGUCUAAUCUACUGUCGCGGGCGCACGCCGGGCAUUCCGACUCUGGAUGACGCGGAGCAAUCUUACUGGGUGGUCUACGGAUGACGUGGUACAACGAUGCAGGAUGCAGUAUACGAGUUCCUACACCAAUUGUUUUUUUAAUUAUAUUUUUGGGGUGUUUCCCGCCGAAAGAGGGAAACGAGGGAGGGGGCCCCCCAAUGGGUCGCUGUCACAGCUCCGUCCUCGCACAAGCACUUUUUGAAAUUUGAAUUUUUUUUAAGUUUUUUUGGGAGCCCGUUUCAAUUUGAAUUUUGAAAUUCCUCUUUAAAAAUAGGAGCUAUUUUGGAAACAGCAUAAACGGAGUGUUAAAUGCUUGCGAAUUACAAAAAAAAAAGUUAUAACUGUUACUACGGUUAUGAUUUUAAGUUUUUCUUUUUACUUUACUCUUAUUACUGAAAAAAGCACAGCACUUCAUACUUUCCAAUAGGGUACUUUUGAAACGGAUAUGGAAACUUUGAAUUGCUGCAUUUAUUUUGUGCCACCGAACCACAGCAACAAAAAAAAAUAAAUAAAAAAAUAAAAAAAAUCUUGUUUUUUUAAAAAAAUCACACCAGAAAUGAAUCUAGCAAAAAAAUAGAACUUAAGAAGACAUUAAUGAAAAUAGUGAAGUUGAGAAACAUAACUAUUUUCUUUUUUCUUUUUUUUUUUUUGAUAAAAGAGUAGCAUAUUAUCUGCUUCGUUCUAGAUGAGGCAAAGGGGGUUUUAUAAAUAAAAAAAAAAAACAUAUCAGCUUAUAUAAAUAUAUAAUUUAAAAAGUUAGACAACUUGCUAAGGAAUUGUUUGAUUUCCAAAAAAAUCUUUGAAAACAACUAAUCUGUGAAAAAUAUGUAAAACAACUAAGGAAGUAUUAAUUAGAAAAAAAAUCCAGAUUCUGUAGAAAAACAAUAUUUUUAUUUUUAAAUGUUUUAUUAAAAAAAAUAAAAAUGGUAAAAAAUUUAUUUUGCUUAUGUAUCCAAAUAAUAGUUUUAUGUAUUUUGUUUCCAGAAUCUAAACAACCCAUAAUUACCAGUGUUUUAAAAAAUUAGGUUUGCACCAACUUGCCCAAUCAAUCGGACUGCGACCGGGUCCUUAAGCCGGUUUGAUUUGAUCCAUAAAAUCGAAAAUAUUUAAAAUUCUUAUUGAUCUAUCUGAAAUGACGGUUCAACUAGUAAACUAGCCUACCGACCGUCCCUAGAGCAAGUGGUAAAAGAUUUGGUGGUUGGUAUUCGAGACCCAAGUUCGAAUCCUAGUUGAUUCACAUUUCUAGUUAAGUUUAUUUCUGAAUGAAAUAAAAGAAACAGAUAGCGAGCUAUCUGCCUCUCUCAAAAAAAAAUAAAAAAAGAAAAACCUAGUAAACUAACCUCAUUUUAAUUGGACUGAUGAUUUGAUUAGUUCAGUUUAAUUUUUUUCAAAAAAUUAUAAAUAUAUUUUAUUUAAUUUAUUUAUAAUAUUAUUUUGAUUUUGCUGGUUUGAUCGGUCGAACCACAAAUUUGAUCAGUUAAAUUAAAGAGACCUAUCAAUUUUUCUUUUUUCUUUUUUCUUUUUUCUUUUUUGGGUUUGUGCAAUCGAUUUCAAAUUUUAAAAUAUAAGAAAUUGUCCUGCAUGGUGCAUUUUCAAUGUACAACAACAAAAAAGCGCCGUCCCAAAAAUUUGAACAAAGGAGGCGCCAAAAUUGUAAGGGAAUUUUGGGAGGGCGUAGUAGAGCUGUACAGUUACACCAGUAAUUGCGUUGCACCUCUGGAUACAACACACAACCGACGCGUACGAUGCGGUGGAUCGCGCUAGUAUCUGAUCGUACGGCCGUUAUACCUCGCCCCAUACGACAUGAUGUGAUGCGAUCUUUUUCCAAACCGACGACGCUGAUUUGAUUGGACGACCCUGUUAUCUGAUCCGCGACGGACAUGUUUUGCUCCCGUGGGUGGGAGAUUGUUGUUUCCAAUUCGAAAUGAAAUAUACAAAAAAAACAAAUUAUUAUUAUUUUUUAUUUUACGGAUUUUGAAAAAAAAAAUGGAGUCUUGAUUUUUCGUUGUUUUUAAUAAAAACGAAAACUCAAACUAUAAAAAAAAAAUUAUUUUUUUUUAUCAAAAUAAAUAUGUGUGAAUUUUUUUUCUUUCAAACUAAAUAAAUCUAAAUUGUUUUUAUAUAAAAAAAUUAUUUUUUUUAUGGAUUUACUAUUUAGGUAAAAAUUGUGUGGUGUGGUGCGGUGCGGGUCCUAUUGGUCGCUGCGACCCGCGAUGGGCGGCGCGCGGUAAGGGAAACGGGUUCGAAUUUCGGUGCGGGUCCCACCCGCACAUGGGAGAUCGUAGUAGCACUCGUUCCAUGCACCGGGUUCGCCGGGCUUUUCGUGGGCCGUCUAAGUGGGCCCAGCCCUCGGAUCACUAGAACCUCGUUCGGACGGUGGGGAUUCGAAGAAAAUAUUGAUGGAGGGUGGAUGAUUUGUACGGUCCACAGCUGAGGUCAGUGAACAUGGUUCGUGUAGUAAUUUCACCGGUGACAGCUGUAGCUACUUAGGAGGAUAUGAAAAGGUAGAAAUAUUUAGGAUCGAAAAGGACUACGUAGAGUUGUUGCCCUACACGGCUAAAUGCUAAUAAUAAUAAUAAUAAUAAUAAUAAUAAUGGUGUACUACUCGGAUGGGCCUUUUAGUUUCAUAUAAUUAUAAAUAUAAUAUAUUUAAAAAUAUAAUAAUAAUUAUUACAUAUAUUUUAUAAUAUAUUUAAAAUAUAAUAAUUAUUAUUAUAUAUAUUUUAUUUAGUUGGUAUUAUUAAAAGUACUGUAAUUAUAGAUAAUCAUUUUAAUUGUAUUAAGUCUAUUUAUAAAAUUUUAUUAUUUUAUAUGUUGGACAUGGAGGCUAUCCUUUAUAUAGGAAAAAAAAUAUUUUUUUGUGAAAAGUAAUUAUAAGGAGGUAAGCUUUUUUUAUUUUAUUUACGACUACCUUCUCCAAUUGAUACAAUUGAGCUCUCUCGUACAGUUAAAAUCAAGUACAUCAAAUCAAACUAAGUACUGAAUUUGGAUCUGUAUUUAUUUAUUACUGUAAUGCAAUCAAACAACCUCUUAAUUUUGUGUCACCUGUUUAUAAUAUAUGGACGCUAUAAUGGGAGAAGUUUUUGUUUUGUAGCCCAUAUAUGUUAAUUCCAUGCAUCAAGUUGUUAUUUGAUUUUUUUUGGGUGCUUAAAUGUUAUUGAAGCGCAAACCAAACAGUGAAAAUUUCUAUACUCAAUAUUGUUAAUGAAGAGUAUUAAAAUAUAUAGCCUUGUAACGAAAUAUCACCUAGGACAUGGGAAAAUAUACAUAUACUUUGGGCGUAUUAAAAAUGUAUAAAGAUAGUAUUUUGGUGACCAAUGAAAAGUAGUGUAUGAAAGUGGCCGAAGAUGGCUAUCUUUUGAACCCUUGAGUAGUUGAGUGAUCCUUAAGUUUGCUAAAAUUUGUAGCUCAUCUUUUUUCUCCUAGAUUUUCUUUAUUAUCUCCAAGCAAAUUAAAUAACUUGUGUGGUCGAAAAGAAGCCAACAUUGUACAGAAAAGCCAAUAUGUGAUCAUCAAUCUCAAUAUAUACAUAUAUAUCUAUAUAUCAGGUGGAGCCACAAACUCAUUGGAGGAUUUGGAGGGGCCUACCAUGUUCUCUUUGCUUCUCUUUAUAUUGCUCAUAUCCUAAGCAUUAGGUUGGAAUUUUUAUUGACCAAUAUAGCAUCCUCCUUCAGCUGUUCUUAUCCACUUUUGGCUUUACAAGCUGUGGGGGUGUUGCAGGGGUGGGGGUGUGAGGUGUUUUGAUGUUCUCAUAUCACUGUACAUGCAUGGUUGCCCAGGUCAAAAUGUAGGUAAUACAUAGUUUGAUUAGAUUUUUGUUCAAUGGUCCAUCUACGUUGUACGCGGCAUGGGGUCCAUCCAAUUUAGGGAGAUCUGUGAUUCGGAGAUCGAUCAUCUUAUUUUUCGGCUUGUUUUUCACUUUAAUAUAUAUGUCGUGUUAGGACUCGUAUGAAUCUAACCGUGCUCGUAUAAUUAAUGUUCGAUUGGUUUAGAGCUUUUGCAGGAAUAAUUUUUCAGAGGAGGUAGAAUUAAGUUUAAAACUAUAUUUUUUGAUUUUAGAGGGUUUGAUCAAAAGCUCAAUCAACAUCCUAUCAAUAGAAUAUCUUACUUUACUGUUUGUUAAGCACCGUAUUGCUACUUCGUAUAGCCAUUAGAUUAGUUUAUUUCGAAAGCCAAACUAGCUAAUUACUAUUAACUUCUUCAAAAACCAAUCCAACACUCCCCUCCUCUAGAUCUCUCUCUCUCUCUCUCUCUCUCUCUCUCUCUUCUUUGGACAUGCAACAACUUCCACUAGCUAAGACAUGAAGCAUCAGUUGCGGCAUUUCUGGCACGUUCAUAUGUCUCCUCUGUUAUGCAUGCUAGCCACUAUGUCCAUGAUGAUUGAUAUACAUAAAAUAUAUAUAUAUAGCUUAUGUUCAUCUUCUAAAAAGCCUAUAGAGCCCCACAUACCCUUCUCCAUUAUUAUUCUAGUUAGGGAGAAAUGCAUGAACAUUGAUCACCAUGCACAUGCAAAUCCUACAUGUAUAUCCCUCUAUAUAUAUAUAUAUAUAUAUACAUCCUUUACACCUAUGAUGAGACUUGUUUACGU
rnacentral:lncRNA from 1 species